AGCGAACGCUGGCGGCAUGCCUAACACAUGCAAGUCGAACGAGACCUUCGGGUCUAGUGGCGCACGGGUGCGUAACGCGUGGGAAUCUGCCCUUGGGUUCGGAAUAACUCAGAGAAAUUUGAGCUAAUACCGGACGAUGACGUAAGUCCAAAGAUUUAUCGCCAAAGGAUGAGCCCGCGUAAGAUUAGGUAGUUGGUGGGGUAAAAGCCUACCAAGCCGACGAUCUUUAGCUGGUCUGAGAUGAUGAUCAGCCACACUGGGACUGAGACAAGGCCCAGACUCCGACGGGAGGCAGCAUUGGGGAAUAUUGGACAAUGGGCGAAAGCCUGAUCCAGCAAUGCCGCGUGAGUGAUGAAGGCCCUAGGGUUGUAAAGCUCUUUUACCCGGGAUGAUAAUGACAGUACCGGGAGAAUAAGCCCCGGCUAACUCCGUGCCAGCAGCCGCCGUAA
rnacentral:rRNA from 1 species